rnacentral:rRNA from 1 species
UACAGAGGGGGCAAGCGUUGUUCGGAAUUACUGGGCGUAAAGGGCGCGUAGGCGGCCUUCUAAGUCGAACGUGAAAUCCCCGGGCUCAACCCGGGAACUGCAUCCGAUACUGGAAGGCUUGAAUCCGGGAGAGGGAUGCGGAAUUCCAGGUGUAGCGGUGAAAUGCGUAGAUAUCUGGAGGAACACCGGUGGCGAAGGCGGCAUCCUGGACCGGCAUUGACGCUGAGGCGCGAAAGCCAGGGGAGCAAACGGG